ACCAGACUCCUACGGGAGGCAGCAGUGGGGGAUAUUGCACAAUGGGGGAAACCCUGAUGCAGCAACGCCGCGUGAGUGAAGAAGGUCUUCGGAUUGUAAAGCUCUGUUCUUGGUGAAGAUAAUGACGGUAGCCAAGGAGAAAGCUCCGGCUAACUCCGUGCCAGCAGCCGCGGUAAUACGGAGGGUGCAAGCGUUACUCGGAAUCACUGGGCGUAAAGAGCGCGUAGGCGGGAUAGCAAGUCAGAUGUGAAAUCCUAUGGCUUAACCAUAGAACUGCAUUUGAAACUGUUAUUCUAGAGUAUGGGAGAGGUAGGUGGAAUUCUUGGUGUAGGGGUAAAAUCCGUAGAGAUCAAGAGGAAUACUCAUUGCGAAGGCGACCUGCUAGAACAUAACUGACGCUGAUGCGCGAAAGCGUGGGGAGCAAACAGGAUUAGAUACCCUCGUAC
rnacentral:rRNA from 1 species